rnacentral:rRNA from 1 species
CGUAGGGUGCGAGCGUUAAUCGGAAUUACUGGGCGUAAAGCGUGCGCAGGCGGUUUUGUAAGACAGGCGUGAAAUCCCCGGGCUCAACCUGGGAACUGCGCUUGUGACUGCAAGGCUAGAGUACGGCAGAGGGGGUGGAAUUCCACGUGUAGCAGUGAAAUGCGUAGAGAUGUGGAGGAACACCAAUGGCGAAGGCAGCCCCCUGGGUCGAUACUGACGCUCAUGCACGAAAGCGUGGGUAGCAAACAGGAUUAGAUACCCUGGUAGUCCACGCCCUAAACGAUGUCAACUAGGUGUUGGGUGGGUAAAACCAUUUAGUACCGGAGCUAACGCGUGAAGUUGGCCGCCUGGGGAGUACGGCCGCAAGGUUA